ensembl:lncRNA
GUUGAUAAUUUGUCUACAUCAAAAUAAAGAUUCUCUAACUUCCAUGUGUGCAGGAACCACAUGGAGCGCAUCUUAAAAACACAGAUUCCUAGAGAUUCUAAUAUAGCAGGUAAAUUGUAUAAAUUUACAAUGAAAUUAUCUCUAAAAAGUAAAUAUAUACUCAAAAUGCAUCAUAUUCUAAUUAUUUUGCUACAUUUUACUAUCAUGUAUGUUCUUGAGGUUAUUUUUGCCUAUUGUACGCGUAUUUAGGUAAUAAUAUAUAAUGCUGUGCUACUGUGCAUCUCUCCCAACUCAUGUUGGUAUUUUGAAAUCAGCCGUGGUAGGAGUAUUUACACCAGGGAAAUUGACAAAGGCUACAGAUCAACACCCCUCAUCCUCUUUUUUGGAGAAGUAGUUGUUACAUGUAUAACAGCACAUCACUGAAUAUGGUCCUUAUAGAAAUCAGGAGUGGUAGCGGCAGUGAGGAAAAUCAAAGCAUGAGCUAUCAUCUAAAGGGCAGAGAAAACCUUGUACAUUCAUCGCCAGAGCAGUAGUGUGGGCAGGGUACAGCAAGGGCGGAGGUGUGGCAACUUGACCCAAUCUUUUUGCACCCAUAUGCUCUCCACAUUUCUUCCAAAUCUUGCCUGGAUAGUUGCAGCCAAAAGCAGAAGUGAUGGGAAGCAACUUUGGGGAAGGUUCCCAAUUCUAUGCUGAACUGGUUAAAGAGAUGAGAUUAGUCAAUGGUGCCAUCUAGUGUCAAAAAGUGGAUUGGCUUUAAAGAGGAAUGCUUAGAAAAAGAUUUCUCUUGAUUUAGGCGCUAGAAGCAUAUUAACUUCCGUAGUUUCCUCUUCCUUUCUUUUCCUCUAUUUUCUUUCCCUAAUUCCAUUUCCUUACUUUCUGAGUCAUUUUCUACCUACUCCCCCAACAAGAAUAGCCAUGAAUUUUUUUGGAAAGUUCCAAACUCUGUUGCUCCCAGGCAAAAAUAGAUAAUGCCAAGAGUUGAAUGGCAUAGAGAUUUGCAAAUCAGUACUUGCCUAUAUUAUAUAUAAUAACUUGGAGUGAAUUUGUUUAGGGAAGCUGUAGAGGUCUUCUCUUGUGGGUCACAUAAAUCAAAUGAUUCUCUGCCUUUGCAACAUGCCCCAUGUCCUUCCCAUUUCCUGAGACAGGGGCAGAUGUAGUUUUGUUAGUGUGUUGUAGUGUAACAAAUAACCCUAAUUCAUUCUCAAGUCUUAUUUCUGCCUUCUAGGUAUUUUUGUAGGAAAAUGGUAGAAGAGGCCUAUUCAUAACUUCCCAGUGAAUGGGAUAUUUCAUUCUUUUUGAGGACCUGUGUGGUCUUUGAUUUGAAGUGAAAGUUUAAUUAUAUAUGGUUGAGUUCUCAUACCAGGAGGGUCCUCCAGAAAUUAAAGUUAAGACUCUCGGGUUAAUAAUUCCUGCUGGAAAGGCUUACUUUACAUCUUGCACAUUCGUGAAGUAACAUGGUAGCCCCUCAAUCAAGAGUACUUCCCUUUGUCCCUUUUGUGAUUGAUGAUCUGAGCAAAAUUAAAAAACAUUGAACGUGGCCCAAAGCUGUUGUUCCACUCUGAUAGUUUCUGUCUUUUCAUUAAGGAUAACUAACCUGUAAGUUCAGGGAUAUUCCAGAUGUUAGUUAUCAGACAGGAAACCAGUAGGGAAUAAAUACCAUCCUCUCUGUAAUGUGUGUAGCAGGAGCAGCCUGAACUCUGUAACAAGUUGUUCUGAAAUGUUUGGAAAUGAAAGCGAAAGUAACAACUAUGGAUAUGAGAUGCGGACUUGGGAUCAGACUUUUUCCAGGAUAACUUUUUCAAUAUUUUAAAAAACAACAAAAGUAGUUUAGAAAUCUCAUCUUGAGACUGCCAGGCUAUACAAACACAUGGCUUUAUUUUAGGUGAGGGCAAUGGGU